GGGCUACAGUAUUCACUGACUGCCCCUGCCCCAUCGUGAAUCUAUCUCUUGUCUCUUCUUUCUUUCCUUUAAUCAUCCUAACUCCCCCCUCAGUGACUGUUCGAUUUGUGCCAGAGGGCUCCAGCAUCAAGCUCAGCAGGUUCUUUGUCUCUGUCUGUCUGUCUGUCUGUCUGUCUGUCUGUGUAUGAAUGUGUGUAUGUAUGUAUGUAUGUAUGCAUGUAUUAUGUAUCUUUCUCUAUCUAUCUAUCUAUCUAUCUAUCUAUCUAUCUAUCUAUCUAUCUAUCUAUCUAUCAUCUAUCAUCUAUCUAUCUAAUCUAUCUAACAUAUAUAUAUAUAUAUAUUAAGUAUUUAUAAAAACUAACAAAUAUUCUAUUGUUAUUUCUUGGUAUUUUAACUUUAAUGGAAUAUUUAUCUUUUCCUUUUAGAUUAUUAAUCUUAGAUUGAUAUUUUUAUUAUUCUAAUUCAUUUGAUGACUCUGAUAAUAGUUUAUAAGCCUUUUUUUCCAUUACUGAUUUUUAUAGGUUGGCAACUUUAUUUAGUUUAGGAAUGCAAUGUCACUUGACUUCUUCUGAGGUUACGAUCAUGACUUCAAAACAAAUUUAUACUGGUGCUUUAUUUCUAUUUCUUCUUAGUUUCCUGAUUUCUCUGCUGAGAUUUUUAUGAUCUAUCAAUUUCACAGCCUUAUCAUGUUUAUAAAUUACAAAGUACAUUAUACUUUUACCCACAGGGUUUGCCAUGGAACUUGUAUCUCCAUUCUAAAGAGUUGAUCUAGUGUGGUCAGACUCCUGAUUCUGAGCCAGCUCAGAAGUUAGACAGGCUUUUCUUCAGAUUAGCAGUCAGCAGAACAGCCAGGCAGUGAGCACAGGGUGGACGACUCUACUGAGUGUGGAGUUAGCACAGGGUGGACGACUCUACUGAGUGUGGAGUUAGCACAGGGUGGACGACUCUACUGUGAGUGUGGAGUUAGCACAGGGUGGACGACUCUACUGUGAGUGUGGAGUUAGCACAGGGUGGAGGACUCUACUGAGUGUGGAGUGUGCACAGGGUGGAGGACUCUACUGUGAGUGUGGACUGUGCACAGGGAGAAGGACUGUACUGAGUGUGGGGUGCUUGCAAUGAUUUGUUAACAACAAUGUCUAACUUUCUGAGAUUCCCUGAGCCACUCUUUACUCUUCAUCCUCUCCCUUCCAACAAUGCUAUGAGCAUCCAAGAGGAACUUCUGCUUUAAGUACAGCUCCCAUUUCUGAGAGGACUCAUCACACCUAAUUUGAGUAAUUUCCUUUUCAAUUUCCUGGGCCAUUUUAUUUUACCUCUGGCUGCCCCUUGGAUGAGUGGAAAAAGAAACUUGGAGUAAGAUGAAAGAAGAAAGAGGAAAGACAAGAAAUCAAGAACUCCAAAGGUCACAAGGCAGGAACAUAAGAAAAGAAAUAAAAUUUUUCUCUUUGUAUUAAAAUUUUUAAUAUUAUAAUGUAAUAAUUAUACUAUAAAUAUCAGGGAACAUCUCU
rnacentral:lncRNA from 1 species